rnacentral:rRNA from 1 species
ACGUAGGUGGCAAGCGUUGUCCGGAAUAACUGGGCGUAAAGCGCAUGUAGACGGCAUGAUAAGCCAAAUGUGAAAUGUAGGGGCUCAACCCCUACACUGCGAUUGGAACUGUCAAGCUUGAGUGCAGGAGAGGCAAAUGGAAUUCCCAGUGUAGCAGUGAUAUGCGUAGAGAUUGGGAUGAACACGAAUAGCGAAGGCGAGUUACUGGUCUGCAACUGACGUUUAGAUGCGAAAACCAGGGGAGUAAACGG